AUUGAACGCUGGCGGCAUGCCUUACACAUGCAAGUCGAACGGCAGCACGGGUGCUUGCACCUGGUGGCGAGUGGCGAACGGGUGAGUAAUACAUCGGAACAUGUCCUGUAGUGGGGGAUAGCCCGGCGAAAGCCGGAUUAAUACCGCAUACGAUCUACGGAUGAAAGCGGGGGACCUUCGUGCCUCGCGCUAUAGGGUUGGCCGAUGGCUGAUUAGCUAGUUGGUGGGGUAAAGGCCUACCAAGGCGACGAUCAGUAGCUGGUCUGAGAGGACGACCAGCCACACUGGGACUGAGACACGGCCCAGACUCCUACGGGAGGAAGCAGUGGGGAAUUUUGGACAAUGGGCGAAAGCCUGAUCCAGCAAUGCCGCGUGUGUGAAGAAGGCCUUCGGGUUGUAAAGCACUUUUGUCCGGAAAGAAAUACUUGGCCCUAAUACGGUCGGGGGAUGACGGUACCGGAAGAAUAAGCACCGGCUAACUACGUG
rnacentral:rRNA from 1 species